rnacentral:rRNA from 1 species
GGGUGAGUAACACGUGGGUAACCUGCCUGUAAGACUGGGAUAACUCCGGGAAACCGGGGCUAAUACCGGAUGCUUGAUUGAACCGCAUGGUUCAAUCAUAAAAGGUGGCUUUUAGCUACCACUUGCAGAUGGACCCGCGGCGCAUUAGCUAGUUGGUGAGGUAACGGCUCACCAAGGCGACGAUGCGUAGCCGACCUGAGAGGGUGAUCGGCCACACUGGGACUGAGACACGGCCCAGACUCCUACGGGAGGCAGCAGUAGGGAAUCUUCCGCAAUGGACGAAAGUCUGACGGAGCAACGCCGCGUGAGUGAUGAAGGUUUUCGGAUCGUAAAACUCUGUUGUUAGGGAAGAACAAGUACCGUUCGAAUAGGGCGGUACCUUGACGGUACCUAACCAGAAAGCCACGGCUAACUACGUGCCAGCAGCCGCGGUAAUACGUAGGUGGCAAGCGUUGUCCGGAAUUAUUGGGCGUAAAGCGCGCGCAGGCGGUUUCUUAAGUCUGAUGUGAAAGCCCCCGGCUCAACCGGGGAGGGUCAUUGGAAACUGGGGAACUUGAGUGCAGAAGAGGAGAGUGGAAUUCCACGUGUAGCGGUGAAAUGCGUAGAGAUGUGGAGGAACACCAGUGGCGAAGGCGACUCUCUGGUCUUGUAACUGACGUUGAAGGCGGGGCUAAAGGGA